rnacentral:rRNA from 1 species
GACGAAUAUUGCACAAUGGAGGAAACUCUGAUGCAGCAACGCCGCGUGAAGGAUGAAGGUUUUCGGAUUGUAAACUUCUUUUGUCGGGGACGAAAAAAAUGACGGUACCUGACGAAUAAGCCACGGCUAACUACGUGCCAGCAGCCGCGGUAAUACGUAGGUGGCAAGCGUUAUCCGGAUUUACUGGGUGUAAAGGGCGAGUAGGCGGGAUCAUAAGUCAGAUGUGAAAUCCCAGGGCUUAACUCUGGAGCUGCAUCUGAAACUAUGAUUCUUGAGUGAUGGAGAGGCAGGCGGAAUUCCCGGUGUAGCGGUGGAAUGCGUAGAGAUCGGGGGAACACCAGUGGCGAAGGCGGCCUGCUGGACAUUAACUGACGCUGAGGAGCGAAAGCGUGGGGAGCAAACA